rnacentral:rRNA from 1 species
AGGAUGAACGCUGGCGGCGUGCCUAAUACAUGCUAGUCGAACGAAACUUCUUUAUCACCGAGUGCUUGCACUCACCGAUAAAGAGUUGAGUGGCGAACGGGUGAGUAACACGUGGGCAACCUGCCCAAAAGAGGGGGAUAACACUUGGAAACAGGUGCUAAUACCGCAUAACCAUAGUUACCGCAUGGUAACUAUGUAAAAGGUGGCUAUGCUACCGCUUUUGGAUGGGCCCGCGACGCAUUAGCUAGUCGGCGGGGUAACGGCCCACCGAGGCUACGAUGCGUAGGGGUUCUGAGAGGAAGGUCCCCCACACUGGUACUGAGACACGGCCCAAACUCCUACGGGAGGCAGCAGUAGGGAAUCUUCCACAAUGGGCGAAAGCCUGAUGGAGCAACGCCGCGUGGGUGAAGAAGGUCUUCGGAUCGUAAAACCCUGUUGUUAGAGAAGAAAGUGCGUGAGAGUAACUGUUCACGUUUCGACGGUAUCUAACCAGAAAGCCACGGCUAACUACGUGCCAGCAGCCGCGGUAAUACGUAGGUGGCAAGCGUUAUCCGGAUUUAUUGGGCGUAAAGGGAACGCAGGCGGUCUUUUAAGUCUGAUGUGAAACCCUUCGGCUUUACCGGAGUAGUGCAUUGGAAACUGGGAGACUUGAGUGCAGAAGAGGAGAGUGGAACUCCAUGUGUAGCGGUGAAAUGCGUAGAUAUAUGGAAGAACACCAGUGGCGAAAGCGACUCUCUGGUCUGUAACUGACGCUGAGGUUCGAAAGCGUGGGUAGCAAACAGGAUUAGAUACCCUGGUAGUCCACGCCGUAAACGAUGAAUGCUAAGUGUUGGAGGGUUUCCGCCCUUCAGUGCUGCAGCUAACGCAAUAAGCAUUCCACCUGGGGAGUACGCCGGCAACGGUGAAACUCAAAGGAAUUGACGGGGGCCCGCACAAGCGGAGGAACAUGUGGUUUAAUUCGAUGAUACGCGAGGAACCUUACCCGGGCUCAAACGGAAGGGGACAGUAUGAGAAAUCAUACAUUCCUUCGGGACCGCUUCCGAGGUGCUGCAUGGUUGUCGUCAGCUCGUGCCGUGAGGUGUCGGCUUAAGUGCCAUAACGAGCGCAACCCCUAUCGACAGUUGCUAGCAGGUAAAGCUGAGGACUCUGUCGAGACUGCCGGCGCAAGCUGUGAGGAAGGCGGGGAUGACGUCAAAUCAGCACGGCCCUUACGUCCGGGGCGACACACGUGUUACAAUGGCAGGUACAGCGGGAAGCCACCCGGCGACGGGGCGCAGAACCCGAAAACCUGUCUCAGUUCGGAUUGGAGUCUGCAACCCGACUCCAUGAAGCUGGAUUCGCAAGUAAUCGCGCAUCAGCCACGGCGCGGUGAAUA